CGCGCUUGAGCGGACGCUGCCUACCGGUGGCCGGGCGGGAUGUAACCCGCUGCUGAGCUGGCAGCUCUGUGUCGCUAGGCUUCGGCCCGGCCGCCGCCGCACAUAAGCUGCGAGGAGGAGCUUUACGACUUCCCGGUCUUCGGGGCCGGGCGCAGCAAGGGCCAGACUCUGCGCUAGCAGGCGCUGCGCGCCAACCGGCCGGCACCUGUCGCAGAAGGUGCAACCGAUCGCACUGUCGCGCCGAAGCUCCUCAAUGGCCAGCGCCAGCUGCAGCCCCGGCCGCCCACUCGCCUCACCUGAGCCUGGGAGCUUGAAAAAUCACAUUUGAGAAGAGGAUUGGAUCCUAGCCAUAACAUAAAUAUAAGGGUGGAACCAAAGUUUUAAUCAAAGAAGGUGGUGUUCAGUUGCUGCUUACAAUAGUUGAUACCCCAGGAUUUGGAGAUGCAGUGGAUAACAGUAAUUGCUGGCAGCCUGUUAUCAAUUACAUUGAUAUUAAAUUUGAGGACUACCUAAAUGCAGAAUCGCGAGUGAACAGAUGUCAGAUGCCUGGUAACAGGGUGCAGUGUUGUUUAUACUUCAUUGCUCCUUCAGGACAUGGACCAUUACAUAACUGAAGACUCCCACCUUCAGGCAGGAUUGGGUAGUACGUGUUUGUAACUACCUGGCAUUGCCUUUUGUUGAGGAAGGGUAGAUGUCUACCCAAAUGGAAUAUUGAGUAUCAGAGACUUCAAAUGAUAACUUUUGUUUGUUUGGAGAAAAUCUUGAGGACGUGAUCACUGUACAAAAGCAUGGCAAAAUGAGGAAACCACUGACAGGUGAAGAAUUUGCACAAUGGAAAACCACCUUGACCAUCUCAUGACUUUAUACAGGAAUCGGAGACAUCCAAGGCCAUUCCAUUUCUAAAUCACACUUAUCCCUCAAUCAAGUCAGUGACUGGAUCAUCUCCUAAGGUUUCACCUGCUUUGCAUCAGUGAGUUGGACUAUGGAUCAGGUACUGUGCUCAGCAUCAGAAAAUGGGAUGACAAUGAACAGAGUAACAGGACUAUAUUUCUGAAAAAGGAUGAACUUACUGGAAACAGGAUUGCGUGCCUGAAAUAUAUCCAAAUGGAUAUAAAUGUCAACUCAGUUCUGGGCUGGAGAUAUAGAUUUGGAAUGCACCAACAAUGCAGAUGGUAAUCCUGGCAUGCGAGUAGGUGAGAUCAUCCAGGGAGAUGGCCUAUAAUGAGAGCCUACAACAUGUCAGGGCUCAAGCACCUCUUACUGCCUCCUCACUCUGGAACCAAAUGCCUUACUGUCUGCACUGCUCCCCAUUGCCUUCCCUCCCGCCUCACCAGUUGAUCCCUAUACCUCCUUCCCAAUGACCUCCAGGAGGCCUCUAACUUACAGGUGAGGCAGGCAUUUUUCUAUUCCCUUAACAUGACCAGUUGGUGUAUCAUGGUAAAUUUUAUUUCUCUCUCUCUUUCUAGACUGUCAGUAUCUUGGGCUUAGAGUUUUAUUUAUUUUUUUCAGCUCCACUUCAGCUGGCAAAACGCCUAGCAUAUAGUAGGAACUAAAAAAAUGUUUUCCGAAUUAAUGAAAGAAUGUAGAAUUGCAGCUCUGACUGUAACUAGUUUCCCAUGAAGACUAUAAUAGUCUAUUAUCCUUUAUUUUUCCUGGAG
rnacentral:lncRNA from 1 species